rnacentral:rRNA from 1 species
AGUUUGAUCGUGGCUCAGGACGAACGCUGGCGGCGUGCCUAAUACAUGCAAGUCGAGCGGACAGAUGGGAGCUUGCUCCCUGAUGUUAGCGGCGGACGGGUGAGUAACACGUGGGUAACCUGCCUGUAAGACUGGGAUAACUCCGGGAAACCGGGGCUAAUACCGGAUGGUUGUUUGAACCGCAUGGUUCAAACAUAAAAGGUGGCUUCGGCUACCACUUACAGAUGGACCCGCGGCGCAUUAGCUAGUUGGUGAGGUAACGGCUCACCAAGGCAACGAUGCGUAGCCGACCUGAGAGGGUGAUCGGCCACACUGGGACUGAGACACGGCCCAGACUCCUACGGGAGGCAGCAGUAGGGAAUCUUCCGCAAUGGACGAAAGUCUGACGGAGCAACGCCGCGUGAGUGAUGAAGGUUUUCGGAUCGUAAAGCUCUGUUGUUAGGGAAGAACAAGUACCGUUCGAAUAGGGCGGUACCUUGACGGUACCUAACCAGAAAGCCACGGCUAACUACGUGNCAGCAGCCGCGGUAAUACGUAGGUGGCAAGCGUUGUCCGGAAUUAUUGGGCGUAAAGGGCUCGCAGGCGGUUUCUUAAGUCUGAUGUGAAAGCCCCCGGCUCAACCGGGGAGGGUCAUUGGAAACUGGGGAACUUGAGUGCANAAGAGGAGAGUGGAAUUCCACGUGUAGCGGUGAAAUGCGUAAAGAUGUGGAAGGAACACCAGUGGCGAAGGCGACUCUNUGGUCUGUAACUGAC